UUUUUUUUUUUUAUUUUUAUGUCGCCCAUACGCCCAAUAAAAGCAAAGGGAGUGUCAUUCUUGGUAAUUCCCAUUUACUGAAUGCUCACUGUGUACCAGGCACUGUGAAGGAACACUAGACAGACAUUACCUCAUUCACAGAAAAACUUUUAUCACAAGAAUUACUGUCCCUAGUGACACAGAACACUGGGGCAUAAAAAAUUCAUUGAUGUGUUCGGUGUCCAUACAGACUUGCCUGUUAAUAAGCAGUGGGGCCAGUCACAACCCAGGGCAACCAGGUGAACCUGAGGGGCCAGCUUCAGGCUCUCACAGAUGCUCCCACAGACUAUCCCUUUAACACAAGUUCCACCUCUAGGGCUCCUCAUUUAGGCCCUUCACUAUCAGCUGCCAUCUGGGGACCGCAGCCCAAGGCCAGGCCCUGUGAUGGCACUCCUCGGAAGCACCCACUGAGGCCUCUGAUGCGUGAAGGCUGGGUUCACGCACGACCAUCUGCACCAAACCGUCGAGGAUGUCUGCUCAAAAGGCAGACUCCCAGCCACAGCAGAGUCUGAUUCACAAAGUCUGAGAGGUGGGGAUGGGCGCCGACUCCACUUUGAGAAGCACAGCUCAUGGGGCUCACGCCCCUUCGCCACGGUCGGACAAAACCCGGAAGGCUGGGGAUCACCAGGCCCCGCCGUGGUCUUCCUGGGCCAGCGGUCCCCAAUUCGGUGCCCACUGAAGCCUGGUGCCCAAGGCGCCCGUGUCAUCGGAGAGGCCGGCCGGGGCCUCCCUCAGGAUGCCUCCCAAGGCUUCGGGGCCUGCCACCCACCCAGAGCCCGGCUCCUCUACACCGGCGGGCGGAGUGGCGACCGCCUACUGACCUGCGGCCGC
rnacentral:lncRNA from 1 species